AAGCCAUGAUGUGGACAAGAAUUCGUGAGAUCUUUGAACCUUUCCCAGCAUUGAAAGAAGGUUUCUUCCUCUUUUUAGGCAAAGUUCAUGAUUACCUUUCUUAAAGUGU